GAUGAACGCUAGCUACAGGCUUAACACAUGCAAGUCGAGGGGAAACGACAUCGAAAGCUUGCUUUUGAUGGGCGUCGACCGGCGCACGGGUGAGUAACGCGUAUCCAACCUGCCCACCACUUGGGGAUAACCUUGCGAAAGUAAGACUAAUACCCAAUGACGUCUCUAGAAGACAUCUGAAGGAGAUUAAAGAUUUAUCGGUGAUGGAUGGGGAUGCGUCUGAUUAGCUUGUUGGCGGGGUAACGGCCCACCAAGGCGACGAUCAGUAGGGGUUCGGAGAGGAAGGUCCCCCACAUGGGAACUGAGACACGGUCCAAACUCCUACGGGAGGCAGCAGUGAGGAAUAUUGGUCAAUGGACGAGAGUCUGAACCAGCCAAGUAGCGUGCAGGAUGACGGCCCUAGGGGUUGUAAACUGCUUUUAUAAGGGAAUAAAGUGAGUCUCGUGAGACUUUUUGCAUGUACCUUGUGAAUAAGGACCGGCUAAUUCCGUGCCAGCCGCCGCGGUAA
rnacentral:rRNA from 1 species